rnacentral:rRNA from 1 species
AAUAGAUACCCAGGUAGUCCACGCCGUAAACGAUGGAUACUAGCUGUUUGAGCGCAAGUUUGAGUGGCUAAGCGAAAGUGAUAAGUAUCCCACCUGGGGAGUACGGGCGCAAGCCUGAAACUCAAAGGAAUUGACGGGGGCCCGCACAAGCGGUGGAGCAUGUGGUUUAAUUCGAUGAUACGCGAGGAACCUUACCAGAGCUUAAAUGUAGAUUGACGUAUUUGGAAACAGAUAUUUCUUCGGACAAUUUACAAGGUGCUGCAUGGUUGUCGUCAGCUCGUGCCGUGAGGUGUCAGGUUAAGUCCUAUAACGAGCGCAACCCCUGUUGUUAGUUGCCAGCGAGUAAUGUCGGGAACUCUAGCAAGACUGCCAGUGUAAACUGUGAGGAAGUGGGGAUGACGUCAAAUCAUCACGGCCCUUAGUCCUGGGCCACACACGUGCUACAAUGGCCGGUACAGAGAGCAGCCACUUAGCGAUAAGGAGCGAAUCUAUAAAGCCGGUCACAGUUCGGAUCGGAGU